rnacentral:rRNA from 1 species
AGGAGAACAUUUCCUUCGGGAAAUUAUUAAACUGGCGAACGGGUGAGUAACGCGUAGGCAACCUGCCUCAGAGAUUGGGAUAACUUCGGGAAACCGGAACUAAUACCGAAUAAUGCAGCGACUUCUUCGGGAGAUGUUGUUAAAGCGGGCUUCGGCUCGCACUUUGAGAUGGGCCUGCGUCCGAUUAGCUUGUUGGUGAGGUAAUGGCUCACCAAGGCGAUGAUCGGUAGCUGGUUUGAGAGGAUGAUCAGCCACACUGGGAUUGAGAUACGGCCCAGACUCCUACGGGAGGCAGCAGUGGGGAAUAUUGCGCAAUGGGCGAAAGCCUGACGCAGCAACGCCGCGUGACCGAUGAAGCUUUUCGGAGUGUAAAGGUCUGUCGUGAGGGAAGAAAAAUUUGGAUGCAAAUAGUGUUCAGACUUGACAGUACCUCACAAGAAAGCACCGGCUAACUUAGUGCCAGCAGCCGCGGUAAUACUAGGGGUGCUAGCGUUGUCCGGAAUUACUGGGCGUAAAGGGUGUCUAGGCGAUCAGGUAAGUUGUUUGUUAAAUGCCUCGGCUCAACCGAGGACCUGCAUACAAAACUACCUGGAUAGAGUUUGGGAGAGGAAAGUGGAAUUCCUGGUGUAGCGGUGACAUGCGUAGAUAUCAGGAGGAACACCAAAAGCGAAGGCAGCUUUCUGGCCCAAAACUGACGCUGAAGCACGAAAGCGUGGGGAGCAAACAGGAUUAGAUACCCUGGUAGUCCACGCCGUAAACGAUGAGUACUUGGUGUUGGGAGAUUCGACCCUCUCAGUGCCGGAGCUAACGCGUUAAGU